AACUCAUGGUUUCGGUCACGGACCUGAAGCUUUAUGUGGAAACAAAGAGGGACGUGAAGAAAAUACAGGGCGGAACGCUUCUGAGGCUGAGCAGCGGGUUCGGAGGCCGCCGUGCAGCACCGUGCAGAAGGCACCUUUUGGCUCCCGAGAACGAAAGUGAAAAGGCGGACGAAGAGCUCUCCAGAGAGGUGGUGGUUACAGAUACACCCAUAGGGUUACAGGUCACCACGGUAAUGACGUACCACAAGGAAUUGCCUCCUCUCACGCGGCUGCUCCGGCAUCUGACAGCCUACUUUUCCUCCGGCAGUAGUCCUCCCCCUUCUGAGAACUGAGCGGUCAGGGACGUGGAACGUUGUGCUGUGGAGGAGAGCCUGGGGACGAGGUCCUGUCGUCUGGCAGCGCCCUGUCGGUUGGAGAGGUUCUGUUGCUUUGUUGAAACGACAGAUCCAUGUCCGAAAUUCCUUUGCAGAACCCGCAGGCUUUCUUGCCUGUUCACAUCGAUGCUAUUCUUUGCACAUGUACUCAAUUUAUUAAAUGUGAACUAGGUUCAAC
rnacentral:lncRNA from 7 species